UACAGAGGUCUCGAGCGUUAGGCGGAAUCACUGGGCUUAAAGCGUGUGUAGGCGGAUCGGUAAGUACCUUGUGAAAUCCCACAGCUUAACUGUGGAACUGCUUGGUAUACUGCCAGUCUUGAGCCAGCUAGGGGCUACCGGAACAAAUGGUGGAGCGGUGAAAUGCGUAGAUAUCAAUUUGGAACGCCAAUGGGUGAAAACAGACUGCUGGGAGUGUGCUGACGCUGGAGACACGAAAGCUAGGGGAGCGAAUGGG
rnacentral:rRNA from 1 species